AUUUUUUCUCAGUUCAUAAACAAGACGAUUAAGUGCUCACAUAUUUGUGUGACUUAUUCCUCCCUUAAAUCUUGUUAGAAUAUUGGCACAUUACCCAUCUGAUG
ensembl:snoRNA